rnacentral:rRNA from 1 species
GAUGAACGCUGGCGGCGUGCCUAAUACAUGCAAGUCGAGCGAACAGACGAGGAGCUUGCUCCUCUGACGUUAGCGGCGGACGGGUGAGUAACACGUGGAUAACCUACCUAUAAGACUGGGAUAACUUCGGGAAACCGGAGCUAAUACCGGAUAAUAUAUUGAACCGCAUGGUUCAAUAGUGAAAGACGGUUUUGCUGUCACUUAUAGGUGGAUCCGCGCCGCAUUAGCUAGUUGGUAAGGUAACGGCUUACCAAGGCGACGAUGCGUAGCCGACCUGAGAGGGUGAUCGGCCACACUGGAACUGAGACACGGUCCAGACUCCUACGGGAGGCAGCAGUAGGGAAUCUUCCGCAAAGGGCGAAAGCCUGACGGAGCAACGCCGCGUGAGUGAUGAAGGUCUUCGGAUCGUAAAACUCUGUUAUUAGGGAAGAACAAAUGUGUAAGUAACUAUGCACGUCUUGACGGUACCUAAUCAGAAAGCCACGGCUAACUACGUG